rnacentral:rRNA from 1 species
UACGUAGGGGGGCUAGCGUUGUCCGGAAUCAUUGGGCGUAAAGAGCGUGUAGGCGGUCCGGUAAGUCCGCUGUGAAAGUCGGGGGGCUCAACCCUCGAAUGCCGGUGGAUACUGUCGGACUAGAGUACGGAAGAGGCGAGUGGAAUUCCUGGUGUAGCGGUGAAAUGCGCAGAUAUCAGGAGGAACACCGGUGGCGAAGGCGGCUUUCUGGACAGAUACCGACGCUGAGGCACGAAAGCUAGGGGAGCAAACAGG